ensembl:lncRNA
AUGGUGACUGGGCUUUUAAUCGCGAGCGCACAGGUUCGUGUUUUACGCACGUCCACUCACUCACUGACAGAGAAAGCGCGAGAGAAACGAUGCUUUACACACAAGAGACGAGGAAAACACAAGGCAGUCUGUUGUCCCGUUGAUUGGCAGAUGCUUGAAGAAGGACAGAGCUCAAGAGAUGCAGAAGCUUUGUACUGCAACGGUUGCUUUUGUAGAGUUUCUUUAGCAGGAAACCUCUCAGCCACAUUAAUAGAGCUCUCAAGAGGACAGUCUGUCUUGUAUCCUUUCAUCCUCCGUCUAUGUUACAUGUAUGUAAAAUCUGAAGAAAUGUGCUCAACCUCUAAACACUUACUGCUUUAAAUCUGUCCUGAGAGCCAGAUGUAUUGAAAGUUUAUCCUCUUGACUGUCAGUUUCAUUCUUUUAAACACAUCAGUGACUAAAAAGGACUGUAUAAUGUGUCAUUUGUGUGGAAACAAUUCUAAUACGUGUAACAAUGUGUUGCUGAAUGCAGUCUGACGCCUGAACUCUUGUCAAGGAGGCUGCAGACUGUCUCAGUCCCAUUAGCAGGCAUUGUAUUGAGAGUGACGAGAGCGUUCCUGAAGCCCUUUCCUCUCUUCCAUCAGUGCCAGUCAUGUGUGAAAUCACCCCAAACGCAUCCUUUCUGUUUGACCCCGACAUAUUUGUUUUCAGUCUGAUCUGAUUGUUCAAGACCAUUUUAGACCAUCCUAUUCAAGUAAACAAUGGGUGGCUUUGAUAUCAUUACCAAACUGAGCAAUUUUAUAAAUUUGCAUGUUUUAACCAAAUUCACGUUUUUCUUAAAAAAAGGAAAGCAGUGUCACAUUGCUAUUCUUCAUUGAAAAAUUGGUCUAAGUUUUAAAAGUCUAAAUAAUCUUCAUGAUAUCAUUAUCAAUGCUAAUAUGCCAACCCAUACUCUUCAAUUUAAUUCAUUUAUUUUUUUAAUGAAUAAUGUAGAUGGUUUCACUUAUAAUAAGUUGUUGACCGCUAGAGGGUGCCAUCAUACAGCUGCUCACAACUCAGCAUUUGCAAUCGGGUUGACGUUUCAUUUUUAUCGAUUCGUUAUUUAUGAUUAUGAUAUGUUUAUUUCUUCUUUUUUCCCCAUCAUAUCAACAUUUUUCUGUUUUUGUUUAGCUAUAGAUGCUUUCAAGAAAUACUAAACUAAAAUAACAACUAAAAUUAUAGCCUAUUGUUUAAAAUAAGUUUUAACCAAUACACUGUUUAAAAUAAACUCGUAAGCAAUUGUGUAUAAAAAUCACUGACACAUCUUCUUGGUCUAAGAUCUCGCUUGAUUUACUUAAUUGUGACUGAAGGGUUGUGAUACUUCUGGGGCCACUUUUGUGGCAUCUGCUCUUAAUUGCCAUACAUAUGAAAGUCUGAGCAAGAGAACAGUUUCACUUUGAUCAGUCACUCACAUAGCAAAACAAAUUAGUCAGGAGCAAGUGGGAAAGUCCAGCUUAAGUUUAUGAGCUCAAUUCAUGAGUGAUAUUUACAUAAAUAUACUCUGGUUUGUGUCCAAAACACCAUGGUAUUACACUUUGUUAUGUGUAUGUAUAAUGUGAAGUGUGUAUUAAACACAGUAAUAAAGAAUGGUUGUGGUUAUGAUCUAGGGCGCCCCCUGCAGGCUUUGCCUUACGUCCAGCUUCACAAGGUGCCCUGAGGGUCCCUGAUGCCAAACAUCACCAAAUCUAAAGUGUUCUUAAUCUAAAGUGUUCUAAAUCUAAAGUGUUCUAAAUCUAAUGUGUUCUAAAUCUAAAGUGUUCUGUCUAUAAGCCCAGGGUGUGCAUGUGAAAACAAGAAACCAGCUACCAUACAUAAUAUUGUGAAAGGAUUCAGGGAAUCCAGAGAAAUCUCAGUCUGUGUAGGGCACCCUCAGUUGAAUGUGUGUGAGCUGCGGUGUUAAAUAUACCCGCAUGGGUUCAGGAGUACUUCUGAAAACCGCUGCCACUUAACACAGUCUGCCGCAGCAUCAAUAAAUGCAACUUGAAUCUCUGUUACUCUGUUGAUGUGACACAGUGGUUAGCACGCCUCUGAACCUACGUUUAUGGAAUGUGUCGCAGCCAUCAAAAUCUAAAUGUGUUUAUAUUUACAAAAUAAAAUUAAGUUGGCCAGUGAAAACAUUGGAAAUGUACUAAAGUCCAUUAAAUAAAGGUAAAACCCUUUUUCUUUAACUUUAACUGUUUAUCGUUUCAUAAUCCUGGCAUAUUUGCUGAAACUGUUGGAUGUGGCACAGCCCUUCUUAGAAAAUUUCCCACAAGCUGCCACUUACAUCAUUUCUCAGAGAAGUUUGCAGAUGAAGGUGUGGUUUCUAUCGCCUGGCCAUAUCCAGCAUGCAGUCUCUCACUGCUGAGACUGAUGUCACUGUAUCCCGUCUCACAACCAGAUCACUGAGUUACACCUCCAUACACACACAACGCAGAAGAAACACCCAGCUCCAUUACGUUAUAGAUAGCCUUCUCCAUAACAGGCUUUCUCUGACACCCGCUCUGAAUUAUUCAGACUCUCAGCUGGGUGGGUUCAAACUCCUGAAUUCAUUUCAAAGCUUGCUAACAAAAGCCCAAUUCACACCUGACUGAAUCCUUCAUGUGCUUUGGACAAUAAGGAAAAUGAAUCAGUUUGUCAAAUGGUUACACAUGCAUGUCUGUCUAUUAUUUAUUUAUUUAAAGGUGACUUAGGAAUUAGCAAUUUACAAUGCUGGUGGUUUUAAUAUAUAAAACUGUCUUUGACUUUACUCACAGGAGUGCAGUGAACAUUAUCCUGUGAAAGAAACAUUGGAGCGUUUUCAUCUGGAUAUAGAUUACAUUUGCUGUUUUUGUAAUUGUGAAAGAGAAUCUGUCGUGAAUUUCAUGUUCAUCUUUGUUUUGUUCAGAGAAGUCACAAUUAAGUGUUAAAAUGAGUCUUAAAUUUAUCAUCUGUUCGACUUCAUUCAAAUUAGUAUGACUUUCCUAAAAGAAAAAUAUUUAUUAUUGAUUUGUUUUUGUUAUUAGGAAAAAUUUUAUAUUGAUCAAACUAAAUGGAACAACUUAAAAAACAAUUCUGCUCAUUUUCAAACAGCAUUUAAAGUUUAUUUAGAAUCGUUAAAGUUAAAAAAAUGUAAUAACAUCAGUUUUUAAGUUCUAUUUUUU